AUUCGCCCUUGUGCCAGCAGCCGCGGUAAUACGUAGGGUGCGAGCGUUGUCCGGAAUUACUGGGCGUAAAGAGCUCGUAGGUGGUUUGUCGCGUUGUUCGUGAAAACUCACAGCUUAACUGUGGGCGUGCGGGCGAUACGGGCAGACUAGAGUACUGCAGGGGAGACUGGAAUUCCUGGUGUAGCGGUGGAAUGCGCAGAUAUCAGGAGGAACACCGGUGGCGAAGGCGGGUCUCUGGGCAGUAACUGACGCUGAGGGGCGAAAGCGUGGGGAGCGAACAGGAUUAGAUACCCUGGUAGUCCACGCCGUAAACGGUGGGUACUAGGUGUGGGUUCCUUCCUUGGGAUCCGUGCCGUAGCUAACGCAUUAAGUACCCCGCCUGGGGAGUACGGCCGCAAGGCUAAAACUCAAAGGAAUUGACGGGGGCCCGCACAAGCGGCGGAGCAUGUGGAUUAAUUCGAUGCAACGCGAAGAACCUUACCUGGUUUGACAUGCAC
rnacentral:rRNA from 1 species